UUAACAUGGACAGAGAGGACAUCAAGAUGCUGGUGUCCAAAUGGUGGGAUAUCUACAACGACACGUCCUUGGAUCUGAGUGCAGAAGACGCCAUCGUUCAAGCUGAAGAUCAGACCGUGUCGAGGUCGUCCAUCAUGGCUUCCAUGCCUGACCCCGCUAUCUCCUAUGUUCCUGCACCCUCUGCCGCGUGAGAAGCUAAGACAAGUCUUUCAAAGAGAGUGUUUAAAUUAGUCGGUAGUCGAUCUGUCCAAGCUGCAGAUCAGACGGUAUCGAGGGUAUCAGUCACGGCUUCCGUGCCUGACCACCGCUAUUUUCCUAUGUUCCUGCAGCCUCUGCCGCUUGAAGCUGGAGAGGUCUUUUGGAGUGUCUAAAUUAGUUGGUGUAUUCAAUCCUUUUACACCUAUUCCAGCUUUGACCUGGUAAUUAGUGUUCUAAAAUAUCUUGGCC
rnacentral:lncRNA from 1 species